GAGAUGAAAAGAGAGCGAGGCUUACAUGGCGAUGAGAGUGGUAGCUCUGGUAGCCAAGGAUGACUUGCCUGUGUGCUGGCCACGCUCCCCUCAUGCAAGGACCAUCUCGUGUCGACCGACGAGCGAGCGAGCGAUCGAUCGAUGAGAGGAUGACGAAGCUUGGGGUGUACGUUGGUCUCUCACGGGCAGUCUCCUUGGCUAGCCCUGACUCACUCUUACCGCCCAUGCUAGCCUCUGCAUCUCUCGUGUUGCUGUACAGAUUACUGGUCAGUGACCUAGCUAGUAUGCAAGACAAUGCGCUUCGUCAGCAUGUCACGAGCGAUGCACGACAUGCAUGCAUGGACGACGCAUGUAUAUGAAUAUAUUUGAUGAGGGCGUGGCUAUUUUUUCUUCCCCAUGACGGUGAAUCCAAGCCGAACGAGGACACGAGAGAAGGUCGGCGAGCGAGAAGAACUGUCCUGGAUUGAGAGAAGAACUUUCCUGAAGACAGUAUAUAUAUCCAGUUAUUAUGUACUGUACAAUUCAGGUUCCAGCUACCAGCUUCUUUAAUUUAUUAGCAAGAGCACAGCCAGCUCCAAUCGGUUUUCAGUCCACAUUACUGGACCGUUUGUUACACAGCUCCACCUCCCUAGCUUACGUUUAAAGGCUUAUACGUUUAAUCUAUUACAAGCAAAUUAAUUGAGCCAUGUAAAUGUACUAAAUAUGUGUCUCCCUAGCUGGCUAGCUGUAGACCCAAAAUUAAUGUACUAAAUAUGUGUCUCCCUAGCUGUAGACCCAAAAUUAAUUUCAUGGAGCUACAGAUACUCACAU